rnacentral:rRNA from 1 species
UCCCAACAGUCCAAGUCGCAACCACGUUUAUUGGGUCUAAAACAUCCGUAGCUUGUUAUGAAAGUCUCUUGUGAAAUCUGACCUCUUAAGGGUCGGGCGCGCAAGAGAUACUACAUGGCUUGAGACCGGGAGACGUAAGAAGUAUGAAUAGGGUAGCGGUAAAAUGCGUUGAUCCUUUUCAGACUAACAACAGCGAAGGCAUCUUACGAGAACGGAUCUGACAGUGAGGGAUGAAGGCUAGGGGCGCAAAAGGG